CGUAGGGGGCAAGCGUUGUCCGGAUUUAUUGGGCGUAAAGAGCGUGUAGGCGGCUUUACAGGUCCGUUGUGAAAACUCGAGGCUCAACCUCGAGACGCCGGUGGAAACCGUAAAGCUAGAGUCCGGAAGAGGAGGGUGGAAUUCCUGGUGUAGCGGUGAAAUGCGCAGAUAUCAGGAAGAACACCCGUGGCGAAGGCGGCUCUCUGGGACGGUACUGACGCUGAGACGCGAAAGCGUGGGGAGCGAACAGGAUUAGAUACCCUGGUAGUCCACGCCGUAAACGAUGGGUGCUAGGUGUGGGCGGUGUCGACUCCGUCCGUGCCGAAGCUAACGCAUUAAGCACCCCGCCUGGGGAGUACGGCCGCAAGGCUA
rnacentral:rRNA from 1 species